rnacentral:rRNA from 1 species
GAUGAACGCUGGUGGCGUGCCUAACACAUGCAAGUCGAGCGAUUCCCUUCGGAGAAGAGCGGCGGACGGGUGAGUAACGCGUGGGUAACCUGCCCUGUACACACGGAUAACAUACCGAAAGGUAUGCUAAUACGAGAUAACAUGCUUUUAUCGCAUGGUAGAAGUAUCAAAGCUUUUGCGGUACAGGAUGGACCCGCGUCUGAUUAGCUAGUUGGUGAGGUAACGGCUCACCAAGGCGACGAUCAGUAGCCGACCUGAGAGGGUGAUCGGCCACAUUGGAACUGAGACACGGUCCAAACUCCUACGGGAGGCAGCAGUGGGGAAUAUUGCACAAUGGGCGAAAGCCUGAUGCAGCAACGCCGCGUGAGCGAUGAAGGCCUUCGGGUCGUAAAGCUCUGUCCUCAAGGAAGAUAAUGACGGUACUUGAGGAGGAAGCCCCGGCUAACUACGUG